rnacentral:lncRNA from 1 species
GGUUUUUGAAUAACUUGCCAUUUAAUAAAUGUUCUAUUUUUGACCCUUUAGGGAAAUAUACAACUCCAUCUGAAACUUAUAGGCCAAAAUAAUUGAACAUUCUUUUCCCAUCUCUUUUUUACAAGUUUUGGGAUGGAGACAAAUGAUCUGGAAGCUUCCUUUUUAAGUUUGCAUGAAGAGACGAAGUCAUUUAACAAGAGAGCAAUGGUUUGUUCUGCACACCAGUUCUGUCAAGAUAAACACAUGGCUGUGGAUAGACAUGAUGGGUGACAAAGUAUGGAAGACAUGAGACAGGGUUCUACUGGCCACCUUUCAGAGAGGAGUCAUGUUGAUCUGAAGAAUCUAAGAGGAUG